rnacentral:tRNA from 1 species
ACUAUUUUGGCAGACAAGUGCAAUGGAUUUAGAAUCUAUAUAUAUAGAUUUUUCUAUAAGUAGUA